rnacentral:rRNA from 1 species
GAUGAACGCUAGCGGCAGGCCUAAUACAUGCAAGUCGGACGGGAUUCAGGAGCUUGCUUCUGAUGAGAGUGGCGCACGGGUGCGUAACACGUAUGUAACCUACCUUUAUCAGGGGGAUAGCCUCUCGAAAGAGAGAUUAAGCCCGCAUAAAAUCACAGCACAGCAUUGUGUAAUGAUCAAAUAUUUAUAGGAUAAAGAUGGGCAUGCGGAACAUUAGCUAGAUGGCGGGGUAACGGCCCACCAUGGCGACGAUGUUUAGGGGAUCUGAGAGGAUGGCCCCCCACACUGGUACCGCGACACGGACCAGACUCCUACGGGAGGCAGCAGUAAGGAAUAUUGGUCAAUGGGCGGAAGCCUGAACCAGCCAUGCCGCGUGCAGGAAGACGGCCCUACGGGUUGUAAACUGCUUUUAUACGGGAAUAAACCCAGAUACGUGUAUCUGGCUGAAUGUACUGUAAGAAUAAGGAUCGGCUAACUCCGUG